CAGUCCUCAAAUGUGUGAACACCUGCGGCGCUAUAAUAUCAUUCCAGUUCUGUCUGAUAUCCUUCAGGAGUCUGUCAAAGAGAAAGUAACAAGAAUCAUUCUUGCAGCAUUUCGUGGAAUACCUUGGCAAGCAGCUCCAAUCCGAGCAGCCCCAGACUGCUGCCGCCCGAAGCUAAGCCUGCCUCUGGCCUUCCCCUCCGCCUCAAUGCAGAACCAGUAGUGGGAGCACUGUGUUUAGAGUUAAGAGUGAACACUGUUUGAUUUUACUUGGAAUUUCCUCUGUUAUAUAGCUUUUCCCAAUGCUAAUUUCCAAACAACAACAACAACAACAAAAUAACAUGUUUGCCUGUUAAGUUGUAUAAAAGUAGGUGAUUCUGUAUUUAAAGAAAAUAUUAUUGUUACAUAUACUGCUUGCAAUCUCUGUAUUUAUUGUUCUCUGGAAAUAAAUAUAGUUAUUAAAGGAUUCUCACUCC
rnacentral:sRNA from 1 species